rnacentral:lncRNA from 1 species
GUUGUAUCACAGUUAAUAGACUGAGAUGGUUAGGCUAGCCGGCAAACAUCAAAGGGGGCGGCGAAUGAUGUCGGGGAUCAAAGGGAAAAAAGUCACGUGGUAACUUAGCGGCACGGCGCUGUGAUAUCUUAUAUUUACAUAUAGGAGUUGAUAUAGUACGAGAUUGAAUUUCAGUCAAAAGAUCAAAUUUCAGAGUGUUUUGCCAGACAAAAACGAAUAUUUUAUAAAGGCGUGCAAGGCAAGUACUUUGGAAGGAAACUAAUUUAAUUUUAAAGCGGCAUGAGCGAGGGAGAAGCCAUAACAGAAACCGAAGCCGAAGGGGUU